rnacentral:sRNA from 1 species
AGUCUGCCCAGGGACUUAGCGACAGACAGACGCUGGGACCCACGACGACAGAAGGCGCCGAUGGCCGCGCCUGCUGAACCCUGCGCGGGGCAGGGGGUCUGGAAUCAGACAGAGCCUGAACCUGCUGCCACCAGCCUGCUGAGCCUGUGCUUCCUGAGAACAGCAGGGGUCUGGGUGCCCCCCAUGUACCUCUGGGUCCUUGGUCCCAUCUACCUCCUCUUCAUCCACCACCAUGGCCGGGGCUACCUCCGGAUGUCCCCACUCUUCAAAGCCAAGAUGGUAGCUGCCAUCCCUGGGAGUCUGGAACCAGGCAAUGUGCUUGGAUUCGCCCUCAUAGUCCUGUGUACCUCCAGUGUGGCUGUCGCUCUUUGGAAAAUCCAACAGGGAACGCCUGAGGCCCCAGAAUUCCUCAUUCAUCCUACUGUGUGGCUCACCACGAUGAGCUUCGCAGUGUUCCUGAUUCACACGGAGAGGAAAAAGGGAGUCCAGUCAUCUGGAGUGCUAUUUGGUUACUGGCUUCUCUGCUUUGUCUUGCCAGCUACCAACGCUGCCAAGCAGGCCUCCGGAGCGGGCUUCCAGAGCGACCCUGUCCGCCACCUGUCCACCUACCUAUGCCUGUCUCUGGUGGUGGCACAGUUUGUGCUGUCCUGCCUGGCAGAUCAACCCCCCUUCUUCCCUGAAGACCCCCAGCAGUCUAACCUCUGUCCAGAGGCUGGGGCAUCCUUCCCCUCCAAAGCCAUGUUCUGGUGGGUUUCUGGGCUGGUCUGGAGGGGAUACAGGAGGCCACUGAGACCAAAAGACCUCUGGUCGCUUGGGAGAGAAAACUCCUCAGAAGAACUUGUUUCCCGGCUUGAAAAGGAGUGGAUAAGGAACCGCAGUGCAGCCCAGAGGCACACCAAGGCAACAGCAUUUAAAAGGAAAGGCGGCAGUGGCAUGAAGGUUCCAGAGACCGAGCCCUUCCUACGGCAAGAAGGGAGCCAGUGGGGCCCACUGCUGAAGGCCAUCUGGCAGGUGUUCCAUUCUACCUUCCUCCUGGGGACCCUCAGCCUCGUCAUCAGUGAUGUCUUCAGGUUCACUGUCCCCAAGCUGCUCAGCCUUUUCCUGGAGUUUAUUGGUGAUCCCAAGCCUCCAGCCUGGAAGGGCUACCUCCUCGCCAUGCUGAUGUUCCUCUCGGCCUGCCUGCAAACGCUGUUUGAGCAGCAGAACAUGUACAGGCUCAAGGUGCUACAGAUGAGGCUGCGGUCGGCCAUCACUGGCCUGGUGUACAGAAAGGUCCUGGCUCUGUCUAGUGGCUCCAGAAAGGCCAGUGCGGUGGGUGACGUGGUCAACCUGGUGUCCGUGGACGUGCAGCGGCUGACCGAGAGCGUCCUCUACCUCAACGGGCUGUGGCUGCCUCUUGUCUGGAUCGUGGUCUGCUUCGUCUAUCUCUGGCAGCUCCUGGGGCCCUCCGCCCUCACUGCCAUCGCUGUCUUCCUGAGCCUCCUCCCUCUGAAUUUCUUCAUCACCAAGAAGAGGAACCACCAUCAGGAAGAGCAAAUGAGGCAGAAGGACUCACGGGCACGGCUCACCAGCUCCAUCCUCAGGAACUCGAAGACCAUCAAGUUCCAUGGCUGGGAGGGAGCCUUUCUGGACAGAGUCCUGGGCAUCCGAGGCCAGGAGCUGGGCGCCUUGCGGACGUCUGGCCUCCUCUUCUCUGUGUCGCUGGUGUCCUUCCAAGUGUCUACAUUUCUGGUCGCACUGGUGGUGUUUGCUGUCCACACUCUGGUGGCCGAGAAUGCUAUGGAUGCAGAGAAAGCCUUUGUGACUCUCACGGUUCUCAACAUCCUCAACAAGGCCCAGGCUUUCCUGCCCUUCUCCAUCCACUCCCUCGUCCAGGCCCGGGUGUCCUUUGACCGUCUGGUCACCUUCCUCUGCCUGGAAGAAGUUGACCCUGGUGCCGUGGACUCAAGUUCCUCUGGAAGUGCUGCCGGGAAGGAUUGCAUCACCAUACACAGUGCCACCUUCGCCUGGUCCCAGGAAAGCCCUCCCUGCCUCCACAGAGUCUUGCUCUGUUGCACAGGCUGGAGUGUAGUGCUGCAGUCCCGGCUCACUGCAACCUCCGCCUCCCACGUUCAAGCGAUUCUCACACCUCAGCCUCCUGAGUAGCUGGAAUUACAGGCGCAUGCCACCACACCUGGCUAAUUUUUAUAUUUUUAGUAGAGACAGGGUUUCACCAUGUUGGCCAGGCUGGUCUCAAACUCCGGACCUCAGGUGAUCUCCC